UUUAAAUGGACGCGUGCUUCGGAAAAGUUGCCUGCACGGCAGUGCAGAGUCAUUAAAGACGGCGAUCUCGGCAGCAACGCCGGUCGCGUAAAUUUUAAGUGAGAGCUGCGGAUGCAGAGGACUCAUCGUGUGUGUGAUUACAAGUUUAACCAAUGAUCUCCGUGUCCGCAACGGCAGUCCGUUGUCAAACUAUCACAAAGCACGACGAACAGGAAUAUUCUGCUCAAGCUGUUUUCUCGAGUGUAUGUGCUGCUUUUUCCUCCUGCUUCUCCAUUACACACCUCCAAGCCAGAUCAGCAGUUUAUAAAGUCGUUUGUGGGUUUUAUAUUUUUUUUUUAUAAUGGGUACGACAGCGGGAAUUACGGUAUUGGUAAAACAAUAGUCGCCCCUACCGUCCGUGUCCAAUAGAGCCUACAAAAAAAGGGGGGGGGUUCCGUGGCAGAUCAUUUCUUUCACAUCAUUGUUUUGAGUUUGCUGUGCAGUGAAUCGUUUAUUGGAGUGCAGUGAAUUACUUUAUUGAAGUGAGGUGUUUUAAUUGAUGUAAAGUGAUCUUUGCCCACAUUG